rnacentral:rRNA from 1 species
UACGUAGGGUGCGAGCGUUGUCCGGAAUUACUGGGCGUAAAGGGCUCGUAGGCGGCCAACUAAGUCAGACGUGAAAUCCCUCGGCUUAACCGGGGAACUGCGUCUGAUACUGGAUGGCUUGAGGUUGGGGAGAGGGAUGCGGAAUUCCAGGUGUAGCGGUGAAAUGCGUAGAUAUCAGGAGGAACACCGGUGGCGAAGGCGGGUCUCUGGACAGUUCCUGACGCUGAGGCACGAAGGUCAGGGGAGCAAACGGGG